GUCACAAAGAGCACCAGUCCAUCUCACCACCUUGACUUGCUGACUGAUGCUCGUCUGCACUGCACAGAGGAAAUCAACUGACCGAGGAGUGUUUCUGAGUGAGGGAGAGAGGAGUCAUCAUCCAGGUAAAGUGACGUGGAUCAGUGGAUACACUUGUCUCCCCUUUAAAGGAGAUACUCUUAGAGAGAGACGAUCCGAGUCAUCCCUAAAUAUGGGCAGGAUAUCAGUCUUGGACUGUCUAACCUGCCGGAGCAGCACUGAAUGACCACCACACAUGAGCAUGUUCCUGCAACAUUCAGCAGCUUUGCUUUUGUGUCAAAUGUCAACCAGCUGGAGAGGAAACUAAACCAGUACUGGGCUGUUUCACCAACACGUGCCAGAUGCUGUUCCUUCAUGGUGACAUCACCAGAGACAGCCCCGCCCACCUCAGGACCUCGCCAUUGAUCAUGAUGAUUAUAAUCGGAACUAAGACUGUACAAAUCCACGACCAGAAUGUUUAGAUGCUUUCUAAUUAUUCAUGAAUACUGAGAGCCUCUUUCUGUGUUUUGUCUGUUUUGGGUUGUUUUGUUUUUUUACCUCAUUUGUUACUAACAAAGUUCACCAAACUCACACAGUUUACAUUCUGUAUGUUUCCAUCUUUACCAGCCACACUCUACCUGCAUUUAAGAAAAUAAUCCUUAGAAAUCGUCGUUUUUCUCUUUUGUAAUUGAUGAUAAUUCAGUGAAUAUA